rnacentral:tRNA from 1 species
GUCGUGGUGGCUGAGUUGUAAAGCGCUUGGCUUCCGAAUCAGUUCCGGGUUCGAAUCCUGGUGAAGACU